rnacentral:rRNA from 1 species
AUGUUGCCUCAACAAAUGCCUGUAGGAUCCAAUAAUGACACAAUUGAGGAUGUUGAUGAAACGAGCGUGUCGUCUACUAUACCUAGCGAUGUUGAUCCAUUAGACUUUGUCUACACAAACAUCCCAGACACCACUCACGUCUUGAAACUCAACGCAAACUGGAAACACUGCAAGGCCAAAAAGUUUGUGUUUGAGACUGACGGGUUCCACUGUCGCAAUGGACAGAUCGAACUUAAACAA